CAGUAGCCACGGUAACACGGGGGGGCAAGUGUUAUUCGGAAUGACUGGGCGUAAGGGCACGUAGGCGGUGAAAAGGGUGGAAAGUGAAAGUCGCCAAAACACUGGCGGGGUGCUUUCUUGACCAUUUCACUUGAGUGAGAUAGGGGAGAGUGGAAUUUCGUGUGGAGGGAUCAAAUCCUAAGAUAUACGAAGGAACGCCAACCGCGAAGGCAGCUCUCUGGGUCCCCACUGACGCUGGGGUGCGAAAGCAUGGGGAGCAAACAGGAUCAGAGACCCCUGUAGUCCCUGUCUCUUAUACACA
rnacentral:rRNA from 1 species